UCUGUGUAGCUUCGGAGCCUAUC
rnacentral:piRNA from 1 species